UCUGCUUUGUAAUAUUGAUUUCAAUGCUUUCAAUUAAUAUUAUAUUUUUGCCACCUUUAAUUGAAUUUAAGCAACAAUAAUGUUGGUAGUUAAAUUGAUGGUGAUUAUGAAGAAAUGUAAUUUACUUUGUGUAACAAUGGAAAAGUUAACUAUGUUCAUCUUGGAGAUCAACAGGGAAGAAUCAUGAAGAAAAGGUAAAAAGUCUAAGAUUUACUUUUCUCUGGACUCUACAACUCUCAGGAGACUUGGAACUUUUAUUUUGCCUGAUGAAUCUAUCAUUUGAAAUGGAGUUUCCAGCUUUUUGCUUUCUCCUUUUCUCUUGCUUCCUUUUCGUUUCUUUGAUUUUUCAUCUUGGCGUUGUUAUCACUUUCAUGGUUCGCAUGGUUGAUUGGACAUUUUUCAGAGUUUUACUUUUACUUUUUUACUUCAACCAUUAAAUUGAGUAAAAAAAGAGGUGAAUUGGAUGGACAUGUCCAAGGAAAAGGCUCAAGCUACAACUCUAUUUGCUGCUACAUGUUUUACAUUGAAAGGAGUUACGAGUUUCUUUCCAGAUAAAUCUCUCAAAGCGCCCGUUAUUAAUGUUUUUCAUGUUGACAAAUGGUUGGAUUAUCAAAUGACUGGAGGCAAAUUGUCUGUUUGGUUUUUAAUCAUCAACAGGAGUAAACAAUGAAAUGGACACACAAAAACGUACAAAAGUCCGGAGCCGAAUAAUUAACAAGUUUAAUACUUCAAUCAACCAUCUUGUUUGACUUUCCCAUUAAGGUGUUUGUACACAGCAAAUUAACACUUGAAACAUGAAGCAAGAGACAAGCCUUUUUAAAUAUCAAAAUCAGCAAAUCAAUUAAUAAUUGGCCAAAUGUUAAUUGAAAGUGAAAUUAAUUGAAAGCCAGUCUUUUAUUGACUAUGAUUCAUUGAUUGUCCAAUCUAAACCAACUUUGCCUUGCGCUUAAAAAUACAAAAAUAUCAACUGGUUAAAUUGAUUACCUAAUUGUAAAUGACAUUCACUAAUCAUCAUUAUGGGUCAAACCUAGACAUGAUCACCAUGAAAAACAUAAGGUUUACACUUUUUUGAUUGUCAUUGAUCUAAUUGUUAAAUUUAUAACAAUCAAUGGCUUCUAUUUUUGUUUAAUCUUUCAGACAAGCAAACACAUUAAUUGACUUUGCCAGAUCAUUUAUUCAAUGGCCAGGACAAGUCAUUGUAUAACAAGUGAAUGGCAAAGUCAAUUAAUCAUUGAUUAUAAUCCAAAUUAAAACAAAUUAAAAUAACUAGUCAACUUGUAGUUAAUAAUUUGUCCCCACAUGCCUUGAUAAUGAUUUAACAAUUAAGAUGAGUUGACUAAAAAAAAGGGAAACAAUUGAAAUGAAAAUAACAGUUGACUGUUAAUUCAAUUUUCAUCAAUCUGUCAACAAAUCUUGUUCCAUCAUUAAACAUUGUUAACAAUUGCAAUUGUAUCAUCAUCAUCACCAUGAUGAUGACGAUAAUCAUCUUCUGGUGAUCAGGUCAACAUGUUAAGGCUAUUUGUCGUCCUUAAAUGUCUUUGAAUGUCUUUAAGAAUCAAAAAGUCGUCUUCAAUGGAACCAACCAUAAAUCAAAAUCAAGUCAAUGCUUCUUUAUACAACAACAAUGAUAAUGAUUCUCAUCAUCAUCACCACCACCACCAACAUGAACAUCAUCAAGCUCAUCAUAUGGUCAAAUAAUUACCUUUAACUCAGGUUCAAGAUCAUUAUCAUUAGAAUCACAGUUGGCCAUAACCAUAAGCAUAAUCAUGAUGACCAGUGAAAAGUUGAAACUCAUCAAAAGCACAACAACGACUCUUGAAAAAAAAGGUUAUCAAAUGCAGUUGAACCUAAAAAUACUUGAUCAUUGGAAAGGAGCUUAAAUGGAUGGAAACAAUUUGACAAGAGAAAUAAAUUAACAUGGAAAAAGUUGAAAUUGGAAAUGAAAAUUGUAAUCUAAUUUGCUGAUAACUUCUCAUUCCAAUCAGCCAUGGCCAUUAUCAUCACCAUCACCAUCAUCAUCAUCAUCAUAAUUUCCUAUUUCAUUGCUAUUCUUUGAUUAUCUAACAUUCAAUUCAUUUUAUGUUUUUUUUUCUUCUUUCUGGUGAUAAAGUUAUUCUGUUUUUCAUUUCAUA